GCAAGUCGAGCGGUAACAGGGGUUAGCUUGCUACCCGCUGACGAGCGGCGGACGGGUGAGUAANGCAUAGGAAUUUACCCGAUAGUGGGGGAUAACCUGGGGAAACCCAGGCUAAUACCGCAUACGUCCUACGGGAGAAAGGGGGCUUCGGCUCCCGCUAUCGGAUGAGCCUAUGCCGGAUUAGCUGGUUGGUGAGGUAAUGGCUCACCAAGGCGACGAUCCGUAGCUGGUCUGAGAGGAUGAUCAGCCACAUCGGGACUGAGACACGGCCCGAACUCCUACGGGAGGCAGCAGUGGGGAAUAUUGGACAAUGGGGGCAACCCUGAUCCAGCCAUGCCGCGUGUGUGAAGAAGGCCCUCGGGUUGUAAAGCACUUUCAGUGAGGAAGAACGCNUGGCGGUUAAUACCCGCCAGGAAAGACAUCACUCACAGAAGAAGCACCGGCUAACUCCGUGCCAGCAGCCGCGGUAAUACGGAGGGUGCAAGCGUUAAUCGGAAUUACUGGGCGUAAAGCGCGCGUAGGUGGCUUGAUAAGCCGGUUGUGAAAGCCCCGGGCUCAACCUGGGAACGGCAUCCGGAACUGUCAAGCUAGAGUGCAGGAGAGGAAGGUAGAAUUCCCGGUGUAGCGGUGAAAUGCGUAGAGAUCGGGAGGAAUACCAGUGGCGAAAGCGGCCUUCUGGACUGACACUG
rnacentral:rRNA from 1 species